AGAGUUUGAUCCUGGCUCAGAACGAACGCUGGCGGCGUGCUUAACACAUGCAAGUCGAGUGCGCGUACUGUAGCAAUACAGUAUGGCGCACGGCGCACGGGUGCGUAACACGUGGGUAAUCUGCCCUUCGAUGGGGAAUAACCUCGCGAAAGCGAGGCUAAUUCCGCAUAACAUUCCGGGGAUUUCGGUUCCUGGAUUCAAAGGAGUAAUUCGUCGGAGGAGGAGCCCGCGCACGAUUAGCUAGUUGGUAGGGUAAUGGCCUACCAAGGCUUUGAUCGUUAGCUGGUCUGAGAGGAUGGCCAGCCACACUGGAACUGAGACACGGUCCAGACUCCUACGGGAGGCAGCAGUGGGGAAUCUUGCACAAUGGGCGAAAGCCUGAUGCAGCGACGCCGCGUGGGGGAUGAAGCAUUUCGGUGUGUAAACCCCUUUCGACCCGGACGAAUGCCUCGCAAGAGGACUGACGGUACGGGUAUAAGAAGCCCCGGCUAACUACGUGCCAGCAGCCGCGGUAAGACGUAGGGGGCCAGCGUUGUUCGGAAUUACUGGGUGUAAAGGGUUCGUAGGCGGUGCGGCAAGUUGGGAGUGAAAUCUCUGGGCUCAACCCAGAGGCUGCUUCCAAAACUGCUGUGCUUGAGUGUGGGAGAGGUGCGUGGAAUUGCAGGUGUAGCGGUGAAAUGCGUAGAUAUCUGCAGGAACACCCGUGGCGAAAGCGGCGCACUGGACCACAACUGACGCUGAGGAACGAAAGCUAGGGGAGCAAACAGGAUUAGAUACCCUGGUAGUCCUAGCCCUAAACGAUCAGGACUUGGGGUGCCACCCGUUCGGGUGUCGUCCCGGAGCUAACGCGUUAAGUCCUGCACCUGGGGAGUACGGUCGCA
rnacentral:rRNA from 1 species